UGGGCAGCUGGCCCGGAGGCUGCGCAUGCGCGAGGGUCCUUGCACUCUGGUGGUCGCGGCGCCGCUCUGGGGCUGGAGGCUGGUGGGUGUUGGCGGCCGCAAUGACCCAGGCGGAGAAGGGGGACGCGGAGAACGGGAAGGAGAAGGGCGGGGAGAAGGAGAAGGAGCAGCGCGGCGUGAAGCGGCCCAUCGUGCCCGCGCUGGUGCCGGAGUCGUUGCAGGAGCAAAUCCAGAGCAACUUCAUCGUCGUCAUACAUCCAGGUUCAACAACUUUAAGGAUUGGUCGAGCCACAGACACCCUUCCUGCCAGCAUUCCUCAUGUCAUUGCACGAAGACACAAACAACAAGGGCAGCCCGCAUACAAGGACAACUGGCUCCUAAGGGAGGGACUAAAUAAACCUGAAAGUAACGAACAAAGACAAAAUGGUCUUAAAAUGGUGGAUCAAGCAAUAUGGUCUAAAAAGAUGUCAAAUGGUACAAGACGGAUUCCCGUGUCCCCUGAACAGGCACGCUCCUACAACAAGCAGAUGCGACCUGCAAUUUUAGAUCACUGUUCUGGAAACAAGUGGACAAACACAUCUCAUCACCCUGAAUUUUUGGUAGGAGAAGAGGCCUUGUAUGUUAAUCCAUUGGAUUGUUAUAAUAUCCACUGGCCUAUUAGAAGAGGUCAGUUAAAUAUUCACCCAGGACCUGGGGGCUCCCUUACGGCUGUUCUGGCAGAUAUCGAAGUAAUAUGGUCUCAUGCAAUACAAAAAUACUUGGAAAUCCCACUGAAAGAUUUAAAGUAUUAUAGAUGUAUCUUGUUAAUUCCUGAUAUCUAUAAUAAACAGCAUGUGAAAGAAUUAGUGAAUAUGAUCCUAAUGAAGAUGGGUUUUUCAGGGAUUGUGGUCCAUCAGGAGUCUGUGUGCGCCACCUUUGGAAGUGGUUUAAGCAGCACGUGUAUUGUAGAUGUUGGAGACCAGAAGACAAGCGUGUGCUGUGUGGAGGAUGGGGUCUCCCAUCGGAACACUCGGCUCUGUCUGGCAUAUGGGGGAUCUGAUGUGUCAAGAUGUUUUUACUGGCUGAUGCAGCGAGCUGGGUUCCCAUACAGAGAAUGCCAGUUAACAAAUAAAAUGGAUUGCCUUCUUCUGCAGCACCUUAAAGAAACUUUUUGUCAUUUAGAUCAGGAUAUAUCUGGGCUUCAGGACCAUGAGUUUCAGAUUCGACAUCCAGAUUCCCCUGCCCUACUUUACCAGUUUCGAUUAGGAGAUGAAAAACUCCAGGCUCCAAUGGCUUUGUUUUACCCAGCAACUUUUGGGAUUGUUGGACAAAAAAUGACAGCUUUGCAGCACAGGUCCCAGGGCGACCCUGAGGACCCUCACGAUGAACAUUACCUGUUGGCUACACAGAGCAAGCAGGAACAGUCUGCAAAAGCUACUGCUGACCGGAAGUCUGCAUCCAAACCCAUUGGAUUUGAAGGGGAUCUUCGUGGCCAGUCCUCUGAUCUUCCAGAAAGACUCCAUUCCCAGGAGGUGGAUUUGGGAUCCUCUCAGGGAGACUGUCUGAUGGCUGGCAAUGAUUCUGAGGAGGCCCUCACUGCACUGAUGUCCAGGAAGACUGCCAUUUCGCUGUUUGAAGGGAAAGCCCUGGGUCUGGAUAAAGCCAUCCUUCAUAGUAUAGACUGCUGUUCAUCUGAUGAUACCAAAAAGAAGAUGUACAGCUCCAUCCUGGUGGUGGGAGGUGGUUUGAUGUUUCAUAAAGCUCAAGAAUUUCUGCAGCACAGAAUUCUCAACAAAAUGCCACCUUCAUUCAGGCGAAUUAUUGAAAAUGUAGACGUGAUCACAAGGCCCAAGGACAUGGAUCCCCGGCUGAUUGCGUGGAAAGGAGGGGCAGUGUUGGCUUGUUUGGAUACGACACAGGAACUGUGGAUUUAUCAGCGAGAGUGGCAGCGCUUUGGUGUCCGCAUGUUACGAGAGCGUGCCGCUUUCGUGUGGUGAAACGGGAAGGAAAAAGUCACCGUCGAAGACCACAAGCAAGCCUUUUGGUACCAUCACACACGUUGUUGACGUUAUUAGAAAGAAGGAAGAUGACUUUAUCCGCUGCUUUCUUUUGAGUGGUUUCUUUAAAGAAUGGAAUGAUAACCCUUACCAUGCCUCCACGUGAGAUAGAUCCCGACCGCCAGCACCCACGUGGCCACCAGCAGAGCUGGGAGGAGGAACGGCAGCCAGCCACCCAGCACGCUUCUGCCUGGGGAAGACAAAGCUUACUCACCUUCAGCAAAGAAAACCAAAUUUGUCUCCUGUUUGGAAACUCAGAUGUUUACUCUAUGCUUCAUAGAAGUUUUGAUCCCUUUAACACCAAGGGUCAGUAUAUUUCUAGGGGGCUGUGUUCUGUGUGUGGAUUGCUGUGUUCUGUAGAGUGUCCAGGUCUUUCAUAAGAUCUUCAAAAUGGAUUUGGGAGCCAGCAGGUUAAAAACAGUCCUCUAAAAUCACUUGGGCUUCUUACUUCACACAUACACAGGCAUUUUCACCUUUUUCUUUUUUGUUCUUUGGCAAAUUCAUGUUAUUCUGGGUGCAAUUGCUUAAUACAUAGUACACAUAGAUGCCAUUUUUAAAGGCUGUUUUGUUAGAUUGACAAAUGUGGGGGUAAUGUUGCCCCCCCCCCACAGGAAUGUCAAUCAGGGAAGCUCAGGCACACCAAGUGCUCAGGAAUCCAUAGGCACUGUGGCCCACACCCAAGUCAGGAUUGUUAGGCACCCACGUUGUCUUCAGUUGGUUUGGCUGAGUUUCUAAGAAUGACACCUUCCAACUUUUGACCCCACCCCUGGGCUAGUUCCGAAAACGUUUAGUUUGUCCACCUAUAAUGAAAGAACUAACAUCUUUAAAUCCAGAGAGACAUUUUCCAGAACAUGCUGCUCUCCAGCACCAUUAAGGUGUGUCUUUUGGUGCCAGUGUUCCUAAUUUGUUAUCCAAAUGUUAGUGGCUUGACCACAUCAAGUUACAGUCACAUCUAGGCCUGGGCUACUGAGACUGAUAAGAAAAUCAAAAUGCAGUGAAAUGCACGUUUCCUUAUAUACUCAGUUCUUUUAUGCCGUUGACUUUUUUCACCAGAUCCUGGUGGCACUGAACAUCCAUUUUGUUUAUUUUUUCCCCCUUGUGUAAAUCCUGCUUGAUAAAAGAUCUUGAGUGAUUUUAUAAAUAAAGCCUUCAUUCUUACUCAGA